rnacentral:lncRNA from 1 species
GCGUCGUCCAUAGGACGACGCAUGGGUGCUGGGAACUCGCCCAGCACCCACCGGCGAGGUCGAAUCGACCUCGCCGGGUCUGCAAAUUUAAUGCGUCGUCCAUAGGACGACGCAUGGGUGCUGGGAACUCGCCCAGCACCCACCGGCGAGGUCGAAUCGACCUCGCCUUCGACCUCGCCGGUUCUGGAAAUUUAAUGUGACGCAUGGGUGCUGGGAACUCGCCCAGCACCCACCGGCGAGGUCGAUUCGACCUCGCCGGUUCUGGAAAUUUAAUGCGUCGUCCAUAGGACGACGCAUGGGUGCUGGGAACUCGCCCAGCACCCACCGGCGAGGUCG